UGGGAUAUUGUGAACCUUUGCUAGAAAUGGUAAAGGGAGUUAUGUUUAGAGCCCGCGAUUGCUCUGCCGGCCCCAUUGACUUCACUCAGACGUGGGUGGAUGGAGCUCCCAGACGUGGGAGACUUAUGCUUGGUGGUCAUCCAGAAAUGGAUGAAUCACAUUAUGUAUGUGGUCCCACAGCGCCAUCUAUGUUUAUUGAUAUGAUAUCCAAAGCUUUGUUUAUGAGUUCAUAUUAUGCUUUGGAUAAAAAUGGAAUGCAUUCUACAUCAAAAAUGAC
rnacentral:lncRNA from 1 species